rnacentral:tRNA from 1 species
GCCUUCUUAGCUCAGCUGGCUAGAGCAACGGUUUUGUAAACCGUAGGUCCGGGGUUCGAAUCCCCGAGAAGGCU